rnacentral:pre_miRNA from 1 species
GUUUUGACUUUUCGUCUUAUUUGAAAUAUUUUUACGAUUAAUAUUUUUAAAACAUGAAUAAUACUUUAUGCGUGACUAUUUUUUAAAGUUUUACAAAUUCUUCAAAUAAGACGAAUGGUCAAAAC